AAUAUGAGGAAUCACUGAAUACACAUAUAGAAGUGUCUAUGUAAGAUAACUUGGGCAGCCUCAUAGUAUAUAACUGUUAGAAAAUGGUAUUCCGAAUGUGUUAG